rnacentral:rRNA from 1 species
ACGAACGCUGGCGGCAGGCCUAACACCUGCAAGUCGCGCGAGGACUUCGGUUCUAGCGGCGGACGGGUGAGUAACGCGUGGGAAUGUGCCCUUCUCUACGGAAUAGCCCUGGGAAACUGGGAGUAAUACCGUAUACGCCCUAUUGGGGAAAGAUUUAUUGGAGAAGGAUCAGCCCGCGUUGGAUUAGGUAGUUGGUGGGGUAAUGGCCUACCAAGCCGACGAUCCAUAGCUGGUUUGAGAGGAUGAUCAGCCACACUGGGACUGAGACACGGCCCAGACUCCUACGGGAGGCAGCAGUGGGGAAUCUUAGACAAUGGGGGCAACCCUGAUCUAGCCAUGCCGCGUGAGUGAUGAAGGCCUUAGGGUUGUAAAGCUCUUUCAGCUGGGAAGAUAAUGACGGUACCAGCAGAAGAAGCCCCGGCUAACUCCGUG